rnacentral:lncRNA from 1 species
GUCCCUUUGGUUGGGCUUUUGAACCUGCUUUUGCUUUUGUAAAAGCCAAAAGCCAACCAAAGGGCCCAAAAGCCACAAGUGCUUUUGCCCAAAAGCAGCUUUUCUCGUAGUACAAAUCCAAAAGCACCUCACCCCCUGCUUUCACUGACUUUUGGGAUCCGUUCAGUUUUUUUCCAAAAGCCACGAGUGACCAACCAAAUGACUUUUGGGUUUCUCAAAGCCCACAUCC